CGUUGUAACACUAAGGGAUCUUUGCUCAGAACCAAUCUUUAACGCCACUAUUCCACUAUUUUACUUCUCAUUUGUUACAAAACCAAAUCUUUGUUUCAAAAUGAAAGUCAUUAACAAACUAAAAGUUCCAAAAAAAUCACCCAAAAUCAUCAAUAAUUUAAAUCUCAAUGAAACCCAUUUGAUACCUUUAAUCCACAAUUGCAAAAAUACCCUUCAAAUCAAACAAAUCCAUGCCCAAAUUAUUCGCCAAAAUUUAUUAUCAAAUAGUAGGAUUAUUACUCAGUUAAUAUCAUCAUAUUCUUUACACAAAUCCAUUAACUAUGCUUUAUCUAUUUUUAAUUGUUUUGGGAAGCCAAAUUUGUAUUUAUUUAAUUCUUUAAUUAGAGGAUUAAAGAAGAAUUCUUUAUUUGAUAAGUCAAUUUUGUAUUUUAAGUUAAUGCUUAAAAUGGGUAUUAAACCUAAUAAGCUUACAUACCCAUUUGUGUUGAAAUCUUUAAUUGCAUUAUGUGAAAAAAGACUUGGUAGUGUUGUUCAUUGUGGGGUUUUGAAAAUGGGUUUAGAAUAUGAUGUGUUUGUUAGGGUUUGUUUGGUUGAAAUGUAUGUGAAACUCGAGUUAUUUGAUCUUGCAUUGCAACUGUUUGAUGAAAGUCCUGAGAGAAAUAAGGAUGAGAGUGUGCUUUUGUGGAAUGUUGUGAUUUAUGGGUGUGGUAGGGAUGGGCGGGUGAGUAAGGCGUUGGCGUUGUUCGAGGAAAUGCCUGAGAGAAAUGCAGGUUCUUGGAAUGCGAUGCUUAGUGGGUUGUUGAGGAAUGGGGAGGUGGAUAAAGCGAUGGAAUUUUUCGAUGGGAUGGAGAGGAAUGAAAAGAAUGUUGUUACUUGGACUUGUGUGAUUUACGGGUUAACUUUGAAUGGGUUGCAUCAAAAGGCUCUUGAUUUGUUUUUUAAGAUGGCGGAAGAAGGUAUAAAGCCGAAUGGUUUAACUGUUGUGUCUGCUCUUUCUGCUUGUGCGAAAACUGGGGCACUAGAGGCAGGUAGAAAGAUUCAUGAUAGUAUUACGAACAAUGGGCUUCAUUUGAACGUAGCGGUUGCUAAUGCUUUGCUUGAUAUGUAUGCGAAAUGUGGAUAUAUUGAGUCUGCAAGCCUGGUUUUUAGUAAAUUGAAGGAGAAGGAUAUUCGUACGUGGAGUAUAAUGAUAUGGGGUUGGGCAAUUCAUGGACGUGUAGAUAAAGCUCUUAGGUGUUUUGAACAGAUGAGAUUGGCUGGAAUCAAACCUGAUGGAGUUUGUUUCCUUGCUGUUUUGACUGGAUGCUCUCAUGCUGGACGGGUGGAUCAGGGCCUUCAAAUGUUUGAUAGCAUGCAGCGUGAGUGCUCAAUUGAGCCCACUAUGAAACAUUAUGCUGCAGUAGUAGAUCUACUUGGCAGGGCUGGUCGAUUUGAUGAGGCCUUGAAAUUUAUCAGAAGUAUGCCUUUGGAGCCAGAUUAUGUGAUAUGGGGUGCACUUUUUUCUGCUUGCAGAGCUCACAAGAACAUUGAAUUGGCAAAAGUUGCAUCGGAGAAGCUCCUACAGCUUGAGCCAAAGCAUGCUGGGGGCUAUGUGUUUUUGUCUAAUGUUUAUGCAGGAGCAGGGAGAUGGGAUGAUGUAGAAAGAGUUAGGAGUUCAAUGAAGAACAAAAAUGUUGAGAAGGAUCCUGGAUGGAGUUCAAUGGAGGUGGAUGGUCAAUUGCAUACAUUUGUUGCUUGUGAUAAUGCUCAUACACGUAAGCAGGAGAUAUAUUCGAAAUUGGAGGAAAUUAUUAGAGGAGCUAAACAACAAGGCUACAUGCCUGAAACUGAGUGGGUGCUUCAUAAUAUUGAUGAGGAAGAGAAGGAAGGAGCGUUGGGAAGUCAUAGUGAAAAGUUAGCUCUUGCUUUUGGGCUCAUUAGUACCGGUCCUGGUGUGAUCAUUAUGAUUGUGAAGAACCUUAGAGUGUGUGGGGACUGCCAUUCUCUAAUGAAGUAUGUCAGCAGGAUGAGUCAAAGGGUGAUUGUGUUAAGAGAUAUAAAGAGAUUCCACCAUUUCAAAGAUGGAGUUUGCUCCUGUAAAGAUUACUGGUGAACUAGUAAGUGUUGCCCGACUUGCAUUUUCAUCUCAAAUUUGCUAGUUAAGGUUUAGAACUGUUCAUAUAUGUCAUUCUGGACUUCUAGCAAUCUGCGGAAGCCGUUGUCUUAUGACUAUCCUUUUGUGCUUUCAGUUUUACUUUGAAUUUGGAUUAACUAAUACAUCAAUCAAACUAAUUGAAUUAUGACACUAUAACUGCAGAAUCUGGUGAAAUUACUGUUGUUUCUCCUAUUUAAGUCUUUCAUUGAAUUGAUCAUGACCAAAAAUUUUCAGUAUCAUUUUGUACAUCUUAAAAUUUUUACUCUGUAGACUCACAUGUUAUAAAUACAUUGUUUCAUAGUUCCCGGGUGUCUAUGGUUAUCCUAUUGAAAUACAAGCACUUUUCUUUAUGGCCUUAAGAUGUGCCUUGCUUCUCUUUAAACCCAACGAAUAAGGGAGAGAGCGUGCUGGUGCAAUAAUUAAACGCUUUCAUGCUUUGAGCUUUCACAUGAGAAGUUACUUUUGGCUCGACAUAAAACAACUGAAUUAUAUAUACCGCUACAAAACCGAUGAGUACUCGCACACUGCAGUAAACGACUUUAAUGUUAUGCCAGAUUCCUUCCCAGGUUGGGUUUUCGAUUUCAUGCCGAGUCGUGUUGGUUACUUCAUCGGAAUUGUUAGUCCUGCUCACAUGGACUUCUGUUGGUUUUGUUUGGGCAACUAUAUUGCCAUGUUGUCAUCUUUGGCUACACCUGAGCAAGCUUCUGCCAUAAUGGAUCUCAUUGAAUCAAGAUGGCAAGAGCUAGUUGGAGAAAUGCCAUUGAACAUCUGCUAUCCUGCUAUGGAAGGUCAUGAAUGGAGAAUUAUAACAGGAUACGGUCUUAAAAACACUAGUUGGAGUUACCAUAAUGGUGGAACUUGGCCAGUUCUUCUGUGGCUCCUUACUGCAGCAGCUAUCAAGACUGGUCGACCCCAAAUAGCAUGACGGGCCAUUGAACUAGCUGAAUCCCGUCUACUAAAAGAUAGUUGGCUUCCAGAUAAGGGUCUUAACUAGUGCUUGUUUACAGGUUACCAGAAUGGGAUCUGGUACCAUCGCCAUAUCCAAGAGCAGGGAACAAGCAAUUCUUACACCAGAAUGGUUAUAUGGUGCCUUUUUGUUUACAGGUUACCAGAAUGGUUAACAAGCAGUUCUUACACCUGCUUUUAGAGGGCAGAUCCCAAUCUUCUUGUUAGAGGGCAUCACCAUGAACAGGGAACCAAGCAAACCUCAAACCCACCCAGGCCAAUACCACAGUUGGAUUAUGGGAAGCAAUGAACCUUUGGCUAACUCAGCACCUGAUGAGGUGAAGAUUUCUCAAGAUCAUGAGGAUGCAAAUAAUCUCAUCUCACUAGGAUGUGGGACUUUAAAUCCCCAAGCCUAGAACUAGACAUUUGGAGUAUGGACAUUCGAUAAUAUUAUAACUUGGGGUCCAACAUCAGAUAAACCAAGAAUUCAGAUGGGUCUGGUCCGGAUGCCAUGUGAAGAAAUAAAUCUUGAGCUUAAUUCAACCCAAAAAAUUGCUUAUGAAGCGAGGGUUAUCCAAGACCAUAUAAUGAAGCAAAUAAUCCCAUUCACACCCAUGAGGACUCUUAACGGAUGAAGUUUGUUAAGAGUUGAGGCCACAGUAGUCAUGUGCUUAUUUGUAUGAAAUCAGGCAAAGAUCAUGCCCUUAAUGAUUUGCAAGUUUGUCACAUUUCUCUUGUUUCAUGUGUGGAAAACAGCUUGGAAAAAUAGAUUCUUAUUGGCAUUUGGUAAAGUA